GAUGAACGCUGGCGGCGUGCUUAACACAUGCAAGUCGAGCGGAGCGGCGAACGGGUGAGUAAGGCGUGAGUAACUGCCCCCCUCUCUGGGAUAACAGUGGGAAACGGCUGCUAAUACCGGAUAGUGGGGGAUGACUCGCGUCCGAUCAGCUUGUUGGGGGGGUAGGUGCCUACCAAGGCGACGACGGGUACCCGGCCUCAGGGGGCGACCGGCCACAUUGGGCUGAUAUACGGGCCUAACUCCUACGGGAGGCAGCAGUAGGGAAUGUUGCACGAUGGGGGAAACCAUUAUGCAGCAUCGCCGCGUGCGGGAUGACGGCCUUCGGGUUGAAAACCUCUUUGAGCAAUGACUCGGUAUUGGCAGAAGAAGCAUCGGCUAACUACGUGCCAGCAGCCGCGGUAAUAC
rnacentral:rRNA from 1 species